AACGAACGCUGGCGGCGUGCUUAAUACAUGCAAGUCGAACGUGAAGUCUUCAGCAAUGGAGAUGGAAAGUGGCGAACGGGUGAGUAACACGUAAGUAAUCUGCCUCUAAGACUGGGAUAACCUUGCCAACGCGGGGCUAAUACCGGAUGUGGUCCCGAUAAUGCAUAUUGUCGGGAUUAAAGGAGCGAUCCGCUUAGAGAUAAGCUUGCGGCCCAUUAGCUAGUUGGUGCGGGUAAUGGCCCACCAAGGCUGCGAUGGGUAGCCGGCCUGAGAGGGUGAUCGGCCACAUUGGGACUGAGAUACGGCCCAGACUCCUACGGGAGGCAGCAGUAGGGAAUUUUGCGCAAUGGGCGAAAGCCUGACGCAGCAACGCCGCGUGAGGGAUGACGGCCUUCGGGUUGUAAACCUCUGUUGAGUGGGAAAAAAGGGUAGCAAUACUUUGAUGGUACCAUUCGAGUAAGCACCGGCUAACUACGUG
rnacentral:rRNA from 1 species